GACGAACGCUGGCGGCGUGCUUAACACAUGCAAGUCGAACGGAAAGGCCCUGCUUUUGUGGGGUGCUCGAGUGGCGAACGGGUGAGUAACACGGGAGUAACCUGCCCUUGACUUUGGGAUAACUUCAGGAAACUGGGGCUAAUACCGGAUAGGAGAUCCUGCUGCAUGGUGGGGGUUGGAAAGUUUCGGCGGUUUGGGAUGGACUCGCGGCUUAUCAGCUUGUUGGUGGGGUAGUGGCUUACCAAGGCUUUGGCGGGUAGCCGGCCUGAGAGGGUGACCGGCCACAUUGGGCCUGAGGUACGGCCCAGACUCCUACGGGCGGCAGCAGUGGGGAAUCUUGCACAAUGGGCGGAAGCCUGAUGCAGCAACGCCGCGUGCGUGAUGCCGGCCUUCGGUUUGUAAACCGCUUUCGCCUGUGACGAAGCGUGAGUGACGGUAAUUGGUAAAGAAGCACCGGCUAACUACGUG
rnacentral:rRNA from 1 species